rnacentral:rRNA from 1 species
CUACGUGCCAGCAGCCGCGGUAAUACGUAGGUGGCAAGCGUUGUCCGGAAUUAUUGGGCGUAAAGCGCGCGCAGGCGGAUUGGUCAGUCUGUCUUAAAAGUUCGGGGCUUAACCCCGUGAUGGGAUGGAAACUGCCAAUCUAGAGUAUCGGAGAGGAAAGUGGAAUUCCUAGUGUAGCGGUGAAAUGCGUAGAUAUUAGGAAGAACACCAGUGGCGAAGGCGACUUUCUGGACGAAAACUGACGCUGAGGCGCGAAAGCCAGGGGAGCGAACGGGAUUAGAUACCCCGGUAGUCCUGGCCGUAAACGAUGGGUACUAGGUGUAGGAGGUAUCGACCCCUUCUGUGCCGGAGUUAACGCAAUAAGUACCCCGCCUGGGGAGUACGACCGCAAGGUUGAAACUCAAAGGAAUUGACGGGGGCCCGCACAAGCGGUGGAGUAUGUGGUUUAAUUCGAUGAUACGCGAGGAACCUUACCCGGGCUUGAAUUGCAGAGGAAUUAUUUAGAGAUA